rnacentral:rRNA from 1 species
AUUGAACGCUGGCGGCAGGCCUAACGCAUGCAAGUCGAGCGGAUGAAGGGAGCUUGCUCCUGGAUUCAGCGGCGGACGGGUGAGUAAUGCCUAGGAAUCUGCCUGGUAGUGGGGGAUAACGUCCGGAAACGGGCGCUAAUACCGCAUACGUCCUGAGGGAGAAAGUGGGGGAUCUUCGGACCUCACGCUAUCAGAUGAGCAUAGGUCGGAUUAGCUAGUUGGUGGGGUAAAGGCCUACCAAGGCGACGAUCCGUAACUGGUCUGAGAGGAUGAUCAGUCACACUGGAACUGAGACACGGUCCAGACUCCUACGGGAGGCAGCAGUGGGGAAUAUUGGACAAUGGGCGAAAGCCUGAUCCAGCCAUGCCGCGUGUGUGAAGAAGGUCUUCGGAUUGUAAAGCACUUUAAGUUGGGAGGAAGGGCAGUAAGUUAAUACCUUGCUGUUUUGACGUUACCAACAGAAUAAGCACCGGCUAACUUCGUG